rnacentral:rRNA from 1 species
UACGAAGGGGGCUAGCGUUGCUCGGAAUCACUGGGCGUAAAGCGCACGUAGGCGGAUGUGUCAGUCAGGGGUGAAAUCCCGGGGCUCAACCUCGGAACUGCCUUUGAUACAGCACAUCUUGAGUCCGGAAGAGGUGGGUGGAAUUCCUAGUGUAGAGGUGAAAUUCGUAGAUAUUAGGAAGAACACCGGUGGCGAAGGCGGCCCACUGGUCCGGUACUGACGCUGAGGUGCGAAAGCGUGGGGAGCAAACAGG